AACGAACGCUGGCGGCAGGCUUAACACAUGCAAGUCGAGCGCCCCGCAAGGGGAGCGGCAGACGGGUGAGUAACGCGUGGGAACGUACCCUUUGCUACGGCAUAGCCCCGGGAAACUGGAAUUAAUACCGUACGUCCCCUACGGGGGAAAGAUUUAUCGGCAAAGGAUCGGCCGGCGUUGGAUUAGCUAGUUGGUGGGGUUAUGGCCUACCAAGGCGACGAUCCAUAGCAGGGCUGAGGGGAGGAUCAGCCACAUUGGGACUGAGACACGGCCCAAACUCCUACGGGAGGCAGCAGUGGGGAAUAGUGGACAAUGGGCGCAAGCCUGAUCCAGCCAUGCCGCGUGAGUGAUGAAGGCCUUAGGGUUGUAAAGCUCUUUCACCGGAGAAGAUAAUGACGGUAUCCGGAGAAGAAGCCCCGGCUAACUUCGUGCCAGCCGCCGCAGUAAAAC
rnacentral:rRNA from 1 species